rnacentral:rRNA from 1 species
UACGUAGGGUGCAAGCGUUGUCCGGAAUUAUUGGGCGUAAAGAGCUCGUAGGCGGUUUGUCGCGUCUGCUGUGAAAACUCAGGGCUUAACCCUGAGCUUGCAGUGGGUACGGGCAGACUAGAGUGCGGUAGGGGAGACUGGAAUUCCUGGUGUAGCGGUGAAAUGCGCAGAUAUCAGGAGGAACACCGGUGGGCGAAGGCGGGUCUCUGGGCCGUAACU